UAGGGAAUCUUCGGCAAUGGACGGAAGUCUGACCGAGCAACGCCGCGUGAGUGAAGAAGGUUUUCGGAUCGUAAAGCUCUGUUGUAAGAGAAGAACGAGUGUGAGAGUGGAAAGUUCACACUGUGACGGUAUCUUACCAGAAAGGGACGGCUAACUACGUGCCAGCAGCCGCGGUAAUACGUAGGUCCCGAGCGUUGUCCGGAUUUAUUGGGCGUAAAGCGAGCGCAGGCGGUUAGAUAAGUCUGAAGUUAAAGGCUGUGGCUUAACCAUAGUAGGCUUUGGAAACUGUUUAACUUGAUUGCAGCAGGGGAGAGAGUGGAAUUCCAUGUGUAGCGGUGAAAUGCGUAGAUAUAUGGAGGAACACCGGUGGCGAGCGAAAGCGGCUCUCUGGCUUGUAACUGACGCUGAGGCUCGAAAGCGUGGGGAGCAAACAGGAUUAGAUACCCUGGUAGUCCACGCUGUAAACGAUGAGUGCUAAGGUGUUAGACCCUUUCCGGGGUUUAGUGCCGUAGCUAACGCAUUAAGCACUCCGCCUGGGGAGUACGACCGCAAGGUUG
rnacentral:rRNA from 1 species